UACGGAGGGUGCAAGCGUUAUCCGGAUUCACUGGGUUUAAAGGGUGCGUAGGCGGGCAGGUAAGUCAGUGGUGAAAUCUUUGGGCUUAACCCGAAAACUGACCAUUGAUACUAUCUGUCUUGAAUAUUGUGGAGGUUUGCGGAAUAUGUCAUGUAGCGGUGAAAUGCUUAGAGAUGACAUAGAACACCUAUUGCGAAGGCAGCAAACUACGCAUAUAUUGACGCUGAGGCACGAAAGCGUGGGGAUCAAACAGG
rnacentral:rRNA from 1 species